rnacentral:rRNA from 1 species
GACGAACCGUGCGAACGUUGUUCGGAAUCACUGGGCUUAAAGGGCGCGUAGGCGGAGUGGUAGGUCAGAGGUGAAAUCCCCCGGCUCAACCGGGGAACUGCCUUUGAAACCCCCAUUCUCGAGGGAGACAGGGGCACAUGGAACUUCCAGUGGAGCGGUGAAAUGCGUAGAGAUUGGAAGGAACGCCGGUGGCGAAAGCGAUGUGCUGGAUCUCUUCUGACGCUGAGGCGCGAAAGCCAGGGUAGCGAAC